rnacentral:pre_miRNA from 1 species
CACAUACUCCCUCUGUCCGGAAUGAUUUGUCGUAGAAAUGGAUGUAUCUAGACAUAUUUUUAGUUCUAGAUACAUCCAUUUCUGUGACAAGUAAUUCGGGAUGGAGGGAGUAUUUG